GAUGAACGCUGGCGGCGUGCUUAACACAUGCAAGUCGAACGGGAAUUAUUUUAUUGGAACUUCGGUCGAUUUAAUUUAAUUCUAGUGGCGGACGGGUGAGUAACGCGUGGGUAACCUGCCUUAUACAGGGGGAUAACAGUCAGAAAUGGCUGCUAAUACCGCAUAAGCGCACAGAGCUGCAUGGCUCAGUGUGAAAAACUCCGGUGGUAUAAGAUGGACCCGCGUUGGAUUAGCUGGUUGGUGGGGUAACGGCCCACCAAGGCGACGAUCCAUAGCCGGCCUGAGAGGGUGAACGGCCACAUUGGGACUGAGACACGGCCCAGACUCCUACGGGAGGCAGCAGUGGGGAAUAUUGCACAAUGGGGGAAACCCUGAUGCAGCGACGCCGCGUGAAGGAAGAAGUAUCUCGGUAUGUAAACUUCUAUCAGCAGGGAAGAUAGUGACGGUACCUGACUAAGAAGCCCCGGCUAACUACGUG
rnacentral:rRNA from 1 species